rnacentral:rRNA from 1 species
CCCUUAGAGUUUGAUCCUGGCUCAGAACGAACGCUGGCGGCAGGCUUAACACAUGCAAGUCGAGCGCCCCGCAAGGGGAGCGGCAGACGGGUGAGUAACGCGUGGGAAUCUACCCUUUUCUACGGAACAACUGAGGGAAACUUCAGCUAAUACCGUAUACGGCCGAGAGGCGAAAGAUUUAUCGGAGAAGGAUGAGCCCGCGUUGGAUUAGCUAGUUGGUGGGGUAAAGGCCUACCAAGGCGACGAUCCAUAGCUGGUCUGAGAGGAUGAUCAGCCACACUGGGACUGAGACACGGCCCAGACUCCUACGGGAGGCAGCAGUGGGGAAUAUUGGACAAUGGGCGCAAGCCUGAUCCAGCCAUGCCGCGUGAGUGAUGAAGGUCUUAGGAUUGUAAAGCUCUUUCACCGGUGAAGAUAAUGACGGUAACCGGAGAAGAAGCCCCGGCUAACUUCGUGCCAGCAGCCGCGGUAAUACGAAGGGGGCUAGCGUUGUUCGGAUUUACUGGGCGUAAAGCGCACGUAGGCGGACUAUUAAGUCAGGGGUGAAAUCCCGGGGCUCAACCCCGGAACUGCCUUUGAUACUGGUAGUCUUGAGUUCGAGAGAGGUGAGUGGAAUUCCGAGUGUAGAGGUGAAAUUCGUAGAUAUUCGGAGGAACACCAGUGGCGAAGGCGGCUCACUGGCUCGAUACUGACGCUGAGGUGCGAAAGCGUGGGGAGCAAACAGAUUAGAUACCCUGGUAGUCCACGCCGUAAACUAUGGGUGCUAGCUGUCAGCGGGCUUGCUCGUUGGUGGCGCAGCUACGCAUAAGCACCCCGCCUGGGGAGUACGUCGCAGAU